AGAAGAUGCACUGGUACCUGGGCCAGGACAGCAGGGAAUAGGGCAGGAACAGAGCCACUUAAGUUAAAGGCCCUGAAGGCAGGGCCUCAUCUUGCCCUGUCAUCUGCAGCCCUCGAACCUGUAACACCCCAGCGACUUGUUCUUCCUCCCUUCCUGCUGUCUGCCUGCUGUACCCUGCCAGCCUCCGGGGUGGGACUAAGCUCAGCACCCUGCCAGCCUCCGGGGUGGGACUAAGCUCAGCACCCUGCCAGCCUCCGGAGUGGGACUAAGCUCAGCACCCUGACAGCCUCCAGAGUGGGACUAAGCUCAGCAUCCUGACUCCUGCUAGCUUCCACUCUCAGCCUCGGCUGUCCUGGGGAACCGGGAAUAGCCACAUAUUUUCGCUCCCGAAAUGCCUUCUGUGGUACAAAUGACAGGAUGGACAUGUUAAGAAAACACCCGGUGUUUUUCUGUGUGCCCUACAUCCCAGUGGGCAGGCCUGUACCCACAGUCCUCUCCUGUGGGGGCAAAUGUCUCUUUCCUUCCUAGCUUUUCCCACAGCACCAAGCCUGGUUGGACAGGCAAGAUGCUGGCAUCCAGCACUGGGGCUGAAAGGAGGCACGUGCAGUCCUGGAGGAGAGAAACAGAAACUGUGUCAGAAAUCAAGAGAAAGGAGAGGGUCCUCCCAAGGAAAGGAUUCACGGUGUGGGCAUCGGUUCAACCUUCAAAGACACCUCGACCUCGGCUGCUCUGCAAACCCUGCGAACCCUGAUCCCUACCGGGAGCCUGUCAGGCUAUUUGGCCAAAUCCAAUCAGACCAAGGAGGCCACAAGAUUAUCGCUGAGCUUGCCCUGCCAGCACAACACAGGAAGCACAACAAGAUGAUUUGCAUAUCCCCAAUUCACCUCGGGAGAGCUCACACACACUUCACUCCCGCCGUUCAGGGCAGCCUCAGCCUCUCUCCAAUCCCUUUGACCCAGUCUUGGGGCUCAAAGAAAUCAAAAGAUUUGCA